rnacentral:rRNA from 1 species
UGGGGAAUUUUGGACAAUGGGCGAAAGCCUGAUCCAGCAAUGCCGCGUGUGUGAAGAAGGCCUUCGGGUUGUAAAGCACUUUUGUCCGGAAAGAAAUCCUUGGCUCUAAUACAGUCGGGGGAUGACGGUACCGGAAGAAUAAGCACCGGCUAACUACGUGCCAGCAGCCGCGGUAAUACGUAGGGUGCAAGCGUUAAUCGGAAUUACUGGGCGUAAAGCGUGCGCAGGCGGUUUGCUAAGACCGAUGUGAAAUCCCCGGGCUCAACCUGGGAACUGCAUUGGUGACUGGCAGGCUAGAGUAUGGCAGAGGGGGGUAGAAUUCCACGUGUAGCAGUGAAAUGCGUAGAGAUGUGGAGGAAUACCGAUGGCGAAGGCAGCCCCCUGGGGCCAAAUACUGACGCUCAUGCACGAAAGCGUGGGGAGCAAACAGGAUUAGAUACCCUGGUAGUCCACGCCCUAAAACGAUGUCAACUAGUUGUUGGGGAUUCAUUUCCUUAGUAACGUAGCUAACGCGUGAAGUUGACCGCCUGGGGAGUACGGUCGCAAAGAUUAAAACUCAAAUGAAUUGACGGGGUCAUA